rnacentral:lncRNA from 1 species
CAAAUGUGGCUUAGAUCCCGCAUUGUUGUGGCUGUGGUGUAGGCUGGUAGCUGCAGCUCCGAUUCAACCCCUAGUCUGGGAACUUCCAUAUGCCAUGGAUGUGGCCCUAAGAGGAAAAAAAAAAAAAAAAACCAACUGAAUCCCUUUCCUCCUGAUCAAAAAUCCAAUUUCCUUGAAUCAACUCAGGAAAAAAUAUAGAUUAAAUGAAUUCACAUAUGCUGGGAGUAAAAAUAACAAAUAUAUUUGUUUUUUUAAGUCAUCUCGAAGUAGUUUCAUUUUAUCACAUUGGAAUUUUCUAACAGAAAAGGGGGAGGUUAUUGUCAUGUUUUCAGUAAGGAAACUCACCUUAUAUAUCAACUAUAGCAAAUCUUCCGUAGCACAAAAUAAAUAUAGAUCAAUCUGAAAAGCAUCAUCAAUGACAGGAAGUGUGGAGAGUGAGUGAGAUCUUCCUGCCAGCUGAGCAAUGCCUCUUUUAGUCCCAGGGUAUGGAGAGGCUGACUGGGGCUGAUUGAGUGUUCCUCUGGGGGAAAACCCUCUUAAAUCAAUCCAGACUGUCAGUUUCUCUGCUUCUAAAAUUUCUAGAUCUAAGGUGUCCUCAUCAAAGCAUCCACUGCAGAAUCAGGACAGAAGAGGAGGAGAGACGACUUGAGGUGGGGGGUGGGAGGCAGAAGCAAUUCGUUUCUCUGCAUUAAGCCCGUUAUAACUCUGCCUAUAUUGCUACCUAUUACAUGUUGUAAUGUUUUCAUAGUUUCCGGCACAGCUCUGAGCAGGACCUGUCGUAGGCAUAGAUGAAGCAGACAGCUGUUCAUUCCAUAUUUACUGGCUCUCUUCCUUAUGCCAGGCACACCUGUUGUCACGAGGGCAGCAGAGAUGAGGAGAAAUACUCAUGCGCAUACAGUGUGUAAUCUGUGGGGGAGACAGACACACAAAAAACAAAUAAAAAUCAAACUACAGUUAGAAGGUUACUGUGGCAGAAUUUUGCUUAAGCUCAGCUCUUCAGAUCUAAAGGGUAAACUGGGAGUUUGUUAGUGUCAAUACGUGAGAAGGUUCUAAGGACAGGGAUCAUGUCACAGUUUAAGGAGGAACAAGACCACAUGACAAGUUCUAGAAAGUACAAGUAAUAUAGUGAGUACUGUCUGAGGGGCUAGGACAAAGUAUAACUUUGGCCUGGGAGGUAGGUCUUAAAAGACACUGUGUGCCUGCUGAAGAGCCCAGAUUUUUAUGCCUAUUGAAAAUCAUUGAAGAGAAUUACCUGGGCAAUUACCUGGAAUUAGAAGAUCACUGGCCAUAGCUGGAGAGGGAAGAGAAAAGGCAAAUAGGAAGGCCUGCACUAGAGCAGCAGAAGUGGGUUUAGGCAAGAGGGGAGAUUUAUAUGAGAUUUUCAUGGAGUGUGAUCCAUGGGACGUUGAUUUGAUUGGUCAGUGGCUGGAUGGAUGGGUGGAUAGAAGGAGGGAUGCAUGGAUGCAUGGAUGCGUGGUGAAGGAAGAAUCUAGGCUCACGCUCCAUUUUCUGGCUUGAUCACGGGGAAGAUUGGGAACACCAUUCCCAAAGUGAAUAUAGAAGAAGUAACACUUUUGAAGAACUCGUAUCAGUAAAUGCUCACAAAAUAAAACUUAAUGACAUGCAGUUUUCUCAUCGUAUAUUGAAUAAGGUAAUGUUCAUUGUAAACCAGGCAUGAAAAAUGCAGUCAUUAUUGAAUAAUUACCAUAACUAUAAAAGGGGUAAACAUUUUAUGUAGAGUAAUAAAUUUCACGAAGCUGGUGAGAGUGGUAAGCUUGUGAUUGAUAGAAGUGGCUCCAACGUAGGCAAAGAGUCAGAGAAAGAAAUUAGUUCUGGGGGGUGGGGGGAGAGAAUCAGGAAAGGCUCCUAGAGGAGGUAGCAUUGGAGUAGAAUAAUGAAGGGUGAAUAGGGUGGGUGAUACUUGUGACGAGCCUUGCAGUGUAGCCGCCAAGGGCACUGACAGUGGGGGCUUCAGGGACAAGCUUGCUGACAUCUGGUUCCAUUGUUCUGAAAGGGAAUUCAAGAAUCUACGCUUUUGGCAAGUACCUCCAGGUGACUUUUAGGCAGAAUACAGUCUACUUUACUGAACUCUUAAAUUUUAAAUUUCCUGACAACGCCGGAUCCUUAGCCCACUGAGGGAGGCCAGGGAUCAAACCCACAACCUCAUGGUUCCUAAUCGAAUUCAUUAACCACUGAGCCACGACGGGAACUCCAGUGUCUUUUUUUCUGUUUCAGGAUCUCAUACAGUCUAACACAUUGCAUCUAGUUAUCCUCUCUCCUUGGCUGUGACCGUUUCUCUGACUUUGCUUGGUUUCAAUGAACUUGAACUUGACGUUUUUAGGGGGCACCCGUUAGGUAUUUUGCAGAGUGUCCUAUCCCUGCAAUCUACCUGCUGUUUUUCUCAUGAUGAGACUGUGAUUCUAUAUUGUUGGAAGAAAGAACAAUGAGGUGAAGUGCCGCUCUCAGCACAUCAUCUGAAGGCUGCUGCCAGCAGCCCUCCUGAUCAUCCCCUGGCUGGGUCGGCAUUUGUCAGGUUUCUCUGCUGUGAAGUUACUCUUCUCCCCCUUUCUACACCACGCUCUCGGGGAGGAAGUCACUGUGGGUAGAUCACACUUAGAGAGUAGGGAGUUAAAAUAGAAGAAGGUAGAAUUUUGUCUUCAGAGAGAAGGGAAUUAAAUCGAUAAAAUAAACAAAAGAAGCUCUGCUCCUUGGGUGAUGAUAAACUAGCCCUGGGAACUCUUAGAAUAAUAAACAGUCUCUUAAGGAAAUGAGCAGAGUUUCACUAAGACAUUUCCAGCUGAGAGGUUCUUUAUGGUUUUCCUUUUCAUUGGAAAGAAGCCAAUCAGCUAUGACACUUUUGCCAUUUUUUUUUUUAACAAAUCUGUCUUAUUCUUAGAGGAAGUUGAUGUGUAUUUGUUAAGACAUAUGGAUGUGGUCAGUGAAAAUUUCCAAACCCAAUCAAUUUGUUUCCAAACCUUCACAGGGAACUUUUGCACAUCUACAAACAAAAUGCAGAGAAACCAAUGCGCUUACCUCGGGAAUUUACUGUUGCUAUAACCCCUGAGUUAAUGACCCCAAAUACAAAGCAGCAAUUCAACCUCCUCCCCCUGUCAUACACUUUGCAAGUCUUUAUGAUUAAAGGGAAUCUUAACAUAAAUAAUGCAUGGUCCAUAACAUAGUACAGCAAAUUGCAUUUUAAAUAUUCAUGCAAUUCUUUUAAAAAAUAAAACCACAAAUUGCAAUUCAGACUGAGGCUUCUGAAGGGGAAUUCAUUCGUUCCACAAAUGUAUGAAUGAGUCUCGAUAGCGUUGAAAUGAAUUUAUAGAAGGAUUUUCCAUCGGUUUCUGCCCUUCUGGAUCCCUUCAGCGUAGUUUAUGAGAGUAGUGCAGAGCAUAUGAGUUUCUGAAACCUAGAGAAUGUGGUGUGCUUGGCUCAGAUAUGGUAGAUUUGUCUUCAAGCAAUCUGUUGUGACUUUAGAGAGGAUAUCUGUUCCUUCAUUCUUCAAACAUAGUGAUGUAAUUUACCAGACCAGUAUAGAAACGGCUUUGGGUAUUGAUUUAGAGCUUAGAUGGAUAACCUGCUUUGGAGCUUGUUUGCUCUGAUGCCUGCUUUAAGAACGAGUAUUUUCAAAAUGUUUGGUUUAAAGUGUAUUGAGCAGGAAAAUAACAGCACGGGAUUUUACCAGAAAGCAUUCCUAAAAGCUUCCAUUUAAAAAUGAAAAGCCGGCUUCCUAAACAUGGGUUCAAAAUUGAUGUGUCUCAGUUGUCAUUAGUAAAAUACAUGUCCCUGAGAAAUAGAAUUUUGUGAAUGUUCAUACAAAAAAAAAAAAUUUAGGGAAUUCUAAGAAUUUAUGAGCAUAAUUAAAUCAUCAAGAAGGUUUUUGGAACAUGGUAAAUUUUAUCUCACCAUAGAUCAACAAAAUGUUCUGACAUCAAGAAAAUUAAAUUUUGCCUAUGCCUUGAAAUAUAUCAAUAAAGCAAAAUUCACUGUGCUCUUAGAUAUUAAAAAGCCUAAAAUAUGGUAGGUGAAACCCAUAUUUAUAUUCAGUGUUGGGAUUUUUCUUAGUACAAUACUUGAGUUCACACUGCUGCAAACCAUGGUAAACGUGUAUGUCUUAUAAACGGAAUGACUGUAAAUCCAAGGGCAUUAUGCCAGUAAUGGAUACAAUAAAAAUCUACCUACCAAAAAAAGUGUUCUUCUGGAACUCAGAAUUGGCCUCUUUGGGUCUGCCCCAAUGGGUUAUACAUAAGAAAGUGUAACUAAUAACAUGACUGGUUUAUAGGCUGAGUUUGGGAACACCCAAACCUGUAUCUGCCAACACAAAACCCUUGGAAGCACUGCCACUGUCAACGGGCUCGCUUCUUCUCAUUCGCCUCCAUUCGUUCCACAAAUAUUUAUUGAAUAGCUACUAUUUAACAUGCUGUGUUCUGGUAACUUGAGGCACACCAAGGACCAUCACAGACCAGUACCCCUGCACUCUUGAAGCUUAUAAUCCUUGACCAUUACAAAACACCUCCUUAUCUUGAGCUGAAAUCUGAAUUCCUCCUGCCCUCAUUAGAAAAAGAAGUUGAGGAGUUCCCGUCGUGAUGCAGCAGAAAUGAAUCCAACUAGCAUCCAUGAGGACGCAGGUUCGAUCCCUGGCCAUGCUCAGUGGGUUAAGGAUCUGGUGUUGCCGUGAGCUGUGGUGUGGGUUGCAGAGGCCGCUCGGAUCCGGCAUUGCUCUGGCUGUGGUGUGGACCGGUGGCUACAGCUCCAAUUCAACCCCUAGACUGGGAACCUACAUAUGCCGUGG